AAGGGGUCUAGCCAAGAGGGCUUAACAGUAGUGUAUGUAGAAAGUCGAAAACUAAAUUUGUAUGAAAAUGACAGCUCGUGUCGACAGUCGGUAGCCUAGGCCUUAUAGGCGUGAGUCGGGAUACAAUAAGCGACGCCAUGACAGUGCUACGAAAAGACACACAUUAACGCUAACGCUAUUCGGUAGCCAACGGCCAAUUAAUGUUUCGGCAGUGUAGAAAAAACGGUGUUUUUCCGCCAUGUUUUAGCGUGAUCUCAAAAGCUGCUGUUUGCAAUAAUUCAGUACAACUAUUGCCAUCUUUAAUGGCUACCGUUUUAAAAACAUGGUCAUAUUUUGGACGUUUUAACGAAAUGAUUUUAAUUUGUUAUCUGUCUUUUUUUAACGUUCUCGUGUAAUUAUAAUAAUUUAAACUAGAGUUAAUAUUUUUAAGUUAAGAGUUUUAGUUUUUCUAUGAAUCAAUGCGAGGAUAACAUAAUAUACACAGAUAAAUAUGAAAAUAUCAAGAAAAUCAGCAAAUUAGUAGAGAUGAGAAAGCAGUCACUAAUGAACCUAAUUAGAAGUUGUAAAUAUAUUUUAUUGUAAUUAUAAUAGAAGCUAAUAAUAUAAUAUUGAUUUAAAUUAAUCAAUUAAAGUGGAUUCAUGAACUUUGGAUAUAUAAAAUCUAGUGAGCAAUACUAAGUAAUGAAAAAGAGAAGCUAUGGAGUAUGAAAUAAUGGUUGGUUACGUAACAUUACCUCAAGAACAGGAAACAGUAACUGAAACUAUGUUCUUCCACAUUUAAUCUUAAUAAGUUCAGCAGUUUGAAUGUUAAUGAGAUAUUAUUAUAAACAAACUGCAUUUGUAGAUUUUGGAAAGAAUUAUAUCUUUACAAUAACUAUUAUUAUUUACAAUUGUUGUGUUAAGGAAACAAUCACUAUUAUUUUAAUCGCCCAAGAUGUAUUCAUAGUAAUUGUAGGUAUCAUAGUAAUUUUAUGAAAUCAUCACAACAUCUAACGUUAGGUUUUAUGAAUUGAACAAUUUUUAUUUAGGUAGUAAUGCAUUGAAUUUGGUGCACCUGUGUGUGUUCAGUAGUAAUGUCUGUAUUGUUUAAUAAGUUGUUUAUUUUUCUAUGUAGACUGCAUUAUGUUAAGGAAGAUAUUUGGUGCCUUAUUUUAAUAAAAAAUAACCAUAA